rnacentral:rRNA from 1 species
UACGUAGGGGGCAAGCGUUGUCCGGAAUUAUUGGGCGUAAAGAGCGUGUAGGCGGUCCGGUAAGUCGGAUGUGAAAGCCCCAGGCUCAACCUGGGAAGUGCACUCGAUACUGCGUAGCUUGAGUAUCGGAGAGGUUGGUGGAAUUCUCGGUGUAGAGGUGAAAUUCGUAGAUAUCGAGAGGAACACCGGUGGCGAAGGCGGCCAACUGGACGAAUACUGACGCUGAGACACGAAAGCGUGGGGGAGCAAACAGG